CUUUGUUUCCCAGUUUCAGGCUGAGGAGAGCCAGCAGGGUCUGGCUGACAAAGGCACCGGACUGAGAGCUGCCCCUGGCAAGAGCAGGGCACUGAGAAGGGCUGCAGGAUACAGAAACUGCAGGGGCUGCAGCAGCGCCAGGACACCUGGGAUGGACAGGCACAGCUACACGAUAUUAAUUGAAGGCUUAGCAGGAAGGUGUUACCUGUAAGCAAGAUGAAGUGUGCCUGGGAGAGGAGGAGCUGUCCUGUGAGUCUGCAAGAAACUUCCUACUGCAGAGGCAGCUGGGCCAGAGACAACUCUAUUAGCACAAAGGACAUUCCUGUAAAUUCCAGAGGCUUUUCCAGUGGAUACAGGGUGGGGAGGACACAGCCCUCCCACCAGAGAGCCAGCCAA